AUCCUCUCAGGGUCACACCUGGAGAGUUUCCAGUACUCUGCCAGUCUCGACUAAGGGAGGGAGAAUCAAGCAGAGGCAUACUCAUUCCAGUUCUAGCUUGGCCAGUAGCUAGUGAGUGGAAGGCAAUCUGCUAAAAGU